ACUCCUACGGGAGGCAGCAGUGGGGAAUAUUGCACAAUGGGGGAAACCCUGAUGCAGCCAUGCCGCGUGUGUGAAGAAGGCCUUCGGGUUGUAAAGCACUUUCAGUAGGGAGGAAGGUAGUGUAGUUAACACCUGCAUUAUUUGUACGUUACCUACAGAAGAAGCACCGGCUAACUCCGUGCCAGCAGCCGCGGUAAGUACGGAGGGUGCGAGCGUUAAUCGGAAUUACGUGGGCGUAAAGCGCAUGCAGGCGGCCUGUUAAGUCAGAUGUGAAACGCCCGGGGUCUUAACCUCGGAAUUGCAUUUGAAACUGGCAGGCUAGAGUCUUGUAGAGGGGUUAGAAUUUCGAGGUGUAGCGGUGAAAUGCGUAGAGAUCGUAGAAGG
rnacentral:rRNA from 1 species